rnacentral:sRNA from 1 species
GUAGUUUGGAUAAGUGUUGAUGUAUGACUGAGACUUCAGGCAUCAGAACUGGAAAGAUAUUUUGCUUCCCUAUAGUGUGCAGAAAGGACUGAGAAGAAAGAUAGAUAUGGCAUGGCAGGAAUGUUCCCUUGUAUGUGAGUGGUCGGCUACUUAUCUAAAGGUUAGUUGAAUAACAUUUAAUCUUCUGCUUUUGGCCAUUCCAGGAAGAAUCAGCCUGUCAGUUUUUCUUUGAUUUAAAUGAAAAGCAGGGAAGGAAGCGUUCAUCCACAGGUAGAGAUAGCAAAUCUUCUCCUCAUCCAAAGCAGCCUCGCAAACCUCCUCAGCCUCCAGGACCCUGCUGGUUUUGCCUUGCUAGCCCUGAAGUGGAAAAACAUUUGGUGGUCAACAUCGGCACACAUUGCUACCUUGCCCUGGCCAAAGGAGGCUUAUCUGAUGACCAUGUCCUCA